AAUGUGAGGGCACGAUUGAAAACUCUGAAAAAAGAAUAUGUUGAAGUUCGUCAGUUGUUAAGUAUGAGUGGUUUUGGGUUAGAUCCUCAUACUGGACGUGUCACAGCCGAUGUACUAGCUUGGGAGGAGUUGUUGAAGGGCAAACCAGAAUUUGGAAAGUGGAGGACCAAACUUUG